UCGCCAUUUAAAGUGGUACGCGAGCUGGGUUUAGAACGUCGUGAGACAGUUCGGUCCCUAUCUGCCGUGGGCGUUGGAAGAUUGAAGGGGGCUGCUCCUAGUACGAGAGGACCGGAGUGGACGAACCUCUGGUGUUCGGGUUGUGUCGCCAGACGCAUUGCCCGGUAGCUAAGUUCGGAAUCGAUAACCGCUGAAAGCAUCUAAGCGGGAAG
rnacentral:rRNA from 1 species